rnacentral:rRNA from 1 species
UCGCUGACGAGUGGCGGACGGGUGAGUAAUGUCUGGGAAACUGCCUGAUGGAGGGGGAUAACUACUGGAAACGGUGGCUAAUACCGCAUAACGUCGCAAGACCAAAGAGGGGGACCUUCGGGCCUCUUGCCAUCAGAUGUGCCCAGAUGGGAUUAGCUAGUUGGUGAGGUAACGGCUCACCAAGGCGACGAUCCCUAGCUGGUCUGAGAGGAUGACCAGCCACACUGGAACUGAGACACGGUCCAGACUCCUACGGGAGGCAGCAGUGGGGAAUAUUGCACAAUGGGCGCAAGCCUGAUGCAGCCAUGCCGCGUGUAUGAAGAAGGCCUUCGGGUUGUAAAGUACUUUCAGCGGGGAGGAAGGUGUUG